GAUGAAGAACGUAGCGAAAUGCGAUAAGUAAUGUGAAUUGCAGAAUUCAGUGAAUCAUCGAAUCUUUGAACGCACCUUGCGCCCUUUGGCCAUUCCGAAGGGCAUGCCUGUUUGAGUAUCAUGAACACCUCAACUCUUCAUGGUUUUCCAUGAUGAGCUUGGACUUUGGGGGUCUUGCUGGCCUGUGGGUCGGCUCCUCUCAAAUGAAUCAGCUUGCCGGUUUUUGGUGGGCAUCACAGGUGUGAUAACUAUCUACGCUUGUGGUUUUCCACCAGGGUAACCUUCAGCAGUGGAGGUUCGCUGGAGCUUACAAAUGUCUCUCCUCUGUGAGGACAGCCCUUUGAAUGUUUGAUCUCAAAUCAGGUAGGACUACCCGCUGAACUUAAGCAUAUCAAUAAGCGGAGGA
rnacentral:misc_RNA from 1 species